rnacentral:lncRNA from 1 species
UUAUUUUUUUAAUUGCAGUCACGUUUAUUUGCAGCUUCUAUACACACUUUCUAUGUAAUCAAACUUUUCUGACACAUUUUUGAGGGGUUCACAAAAGAAAUUGUCACCAUUUUUACUAAAAAAUAAAUACAAGACUUAAAGUGUUGCACAGCUCUAAAAUAUACAAAGGCUUAGAUUUAAUGUAAACUCUGAAAACAUUUUACAAAAGAAACCAUCUUUGCAACAAUUUAAAAAGUUCAUAUUUACAGAUAUUACAAAAAUACAAAUGGAUGCAAGUCCACUAACCAUAGUCGUUUCCUCCCACGAGUGCCAUACUUACAUUAAAAGAGUAACACUGUAAUCUCUUUUCUGUAUGUUAUAUCACAUCAACCUUUCUAAGAUAAGUUGUAAAUUGUGAUUCAACCCUUCAGUGGCUAUUGGACUAGCAAUGCAUUGGGGUCUAUGCACUAAGCUUCAAGUUAUGGUGACUCUAGAAUACUUGCAAAUUUAAAGCCAAAUUAGCAGAGUUGGCAGUAAUAUUCAACUAAGCUAGUUUAGCAUACAUUUCUCAAGAUGUGUUUAAAGUCACUAGAACUUGCUGUUUAGUUAAUAACUCUCAGUGUAACAGAAUGCACUUGAUUGCUUAACUAGUGGGUAUUAAGACAACUUGCUUCCAGCAUCUGGCAUGAAAUCGGUCACUAAUGCAGCAAUUUAUACCGCAAACCUAAUGAUUUGGCAAGUACUUUUCUGUUCACUAUUCCUUCUCAUCAUAAACCUGCUUAAACAUAAAGUCAAAUAGAAAUGUUAGAAGGAAAGGAAAAAACAGUUAUGUUGUUAAAAAAAAAUUAUUUAAAAAUCUGUUUCAUCAGUGCAAACAGAACGUUAAUUUCAAAGGAUGGUGAACAAGCUUGAAAUAGGCAGUCACUGGGAAUCACAAGCAUGGGUCCAGAGCUCUUUUAUACGUUGUCUACUUUGGGAAUAUCUCAAGACUUGACUGCCGUGACAGAUUUGCUCCAGUUAAGAUCCAAAACACUUAAAUAUGUUUUUCAAAGGAACACUCCACAGCCCAAAUACAAAAUAAAUUAAAAAUUACUGUUUAGUAUAUACACCCAAAAUGAAAACAAGCAUGCAUUUAAUUAUAAUUUUUUUCCCUUGGGGGUAUAUCUAAAAAAACAGCUUGAAAAAGGUGCAGAUCUCUUGUAUUCAGCAUUUGCAAGCCCUCCUCUUUUUUCUAAUCACAGACUUCCCAAUGCAGCUCAAUGAGACGUCUUUGCAAGUCAGGUGCUCUGAGCAAUUGCUGCCUCAUGAGUUUAGCUCCACUGAGCUAACCAAACCAAGAGGUAACAGCACCUGAUGUCAAGGGGGUGUAAUCAGAUUAAUUUAUAAAAGUGUCAACUUCUAUUGAAAUCAGAAUUGUUUUUUUUUUAAAUCACACAUAGAGCUUUCCAGCAAGCUAAAGUGCUUUAGGGGUCUGGAGUGUCCCUUUAAUUGUUGAACUUUUCCUAGUUUUGUGUUAAAGGAACACUCCAAGCACCAUAACUAUUACAGCUUGCUGUUGUGUUUAUGGUGCCAGGAGUGACACAGAGACAUCCUACGGUAAUUUGUCAAACUGUUUUAGUAUACUUGGGUCCCCAUGACGCCCAUGCUGCAUCCCCUCUUCUCCUGCAGGAGAAGCAGGAUGUCUCAUGACAGCUAAGCAUGGCCAAUGCAGGCCUGUGCUCAUUGGCUGAGAGUGCUUAGCUCAUACUUAAUGCAGUACUGCAUGGUCCUGUUUAGCUCAGUAGAGGAGAAUCCUAAAAGCAGUUAAACAAAUUAAACUGGGUUAGCAACAGGACACUGCUGAUACCAUAACCACUACAAUUGGUUGUUUUACUUGGAGUGUUGUUUAAAGCAUUGUUAAAAGAGAUUUGCUGAGAAUAAAGACAUUAAAAUAAUGUCCAUAUUUUUGUUUAUAUUUUCAAACAGAAUUCCUACAAAGAAUUUCUUAAAAACGAUGCUGCUAUCAUUACCUAUAUGGCUAGAGGAUUUGCGGUUUGUACUUGAAGUCUAAGCAAAAGGAACUGAAAUAUGUUUCUCUUUAACUGGGUAUGUUCUAACCUGCAAUGUUAUUGUUUGCCUUGUUUAUGAAGUUUAUUCACUAAACUGGAAAUUGUGAACAUUUUUAUGGGAUUAAACAUUUUAGACAGAAUUUGCAAAAAUCUUCAUGUCAGCUUUUUUUCUAGAAAUCUUUCAAUUCACCAGUUAAUUGUCUACAAUUCCUAGUUUAGUGAAUAAACUCUGUAUAUUUUCAAAUAUACAUUUGUCGAUUUUCAUGAAUGCAUGUACCCCAUGAAGGAAUAUUUUCAUAAGCACACUCAAGACACAAUGUUAUUAAGCACCUUGCACCUCUCCGUGUCUUGGUCUCUGCUAGGAAAAAAAAUGUACAUCUUAUGGUAUAUUAUGGAAGCGUACUUAAAGCUGCCCAGUGCAUUACGGCAUAAGUUUUCAAUACAUAUGUACUUGGCAUAUUUGAAAAGCAAUAAAUAAAUACCAUAUGUCAAUAUAAUUAUGUUAAGUCGAACAUUUUUUCUGUAUGAUUAUUGACCCCACCUCUCAAAAAAGUACCACUAUAGGAUGAUGUCUUCUCUGGUUUCAUUAUGUUACUAGCUUUAUUUCUGCUACUUAGGUAAAUAAAUUGAAUUUAGCACUACCACAGUUAGUUAUAUUCACAGUAAAGGGCUGUUAAGAUAGAGCUUGAAAACUCUCUCAUAUUUUGAACUUGAUUCUUGAAACAGAACAGUCAAAAACAAACAUUUAUAUGGCACUUGCAUGGAACAGAAAGUUUAAUUGUGCUACUUAAGGCUGUGCUUAAACAUAAAAUUCAUUAUAAAAGUGUUGACAGCAAAUUGCAUUAACAAUUAAUAGUCAAAAUACUAUUAGAACUCUUGAAAAUGACCAGUGUUUUAGUUAGAUUUCGAAAUCAUGGAGAUUAGCAUCAGAAUUUAUAAGGUUAUCACUUGUCCUUGAUUUAUGUGUGAUGUGAGAUGCCCUGCAUAAUAUUCAGAAGGGUAAAAGCACAAAGUGAUACCGCAAGUAAUGAUUACCUUGAUUUGCCACAUUAUCCUUUAGCACCAGUUUUGUACCUGUCAAAAUAAUGGUGUCAGUGAUUUUUAUAAUGUACAAAAUAUGUAUUAUAAGGCCUGUUAAACAGAAUAGUUUAGGUAUCAUAACAUUUGAGGAAGGCUAGCACCUUUCAGUAUGAGACACAUACCCAACCAGUUGGUCCACACACACACACAUACAUAUAUAUGUAUAUCAAAAGCAGUCCUGUGCAACACUCGUGCAAAUGGACUACUGAGUGUGCAUAAAGAUGAUGCACACAUAGGAUCUAACCAAGUGCUUACUAAUGACAAGUUGCACCAUAUUUCAGAUGACAAUUGUGGCCAUUUGAGGAACUGAAAGAUGUAAAAACUAAAAACAAAACGUUUGUGUUGUUUUAAAUUCUAUAAAUCAAACCUGGGGGUAACAACUGUUAAGUAGUUAAGUGUGUGUAGUAACAUUAUCAAAGGUAGUGAGGCAGAGAAGUAAUUAACAUCACGCAAAAUAUUGCAUAUUUAAUACUUAUAUGAGCUGAUUUUCUAAAGCAGAAAAUAACAUUUCAGUUAAAUUGCAGGCUGGGUAACUACUGUUUCAUCUGGUUAUCACUUUAAAAAUAUUAGUAUGGAUUAAAGGGACUCUCCAGGCACUAGAUCAUUAGUGGUGUUUUGUUGUUUUUGCACGCUCAAUCUUGUAUACAUUUUGCAAACACUACAAUAAAUGUUUGAAAGCACACUACAAUUUAACCCUGCCUCGUUUAUGCUCAGUCUCAACUUUCCCAUUCUAAAAUAAUUCCUUCUUGCUUGUUACUAUAAACAAUCUGUUGCCUUGAAAGAACUCUAGUGGCAGUCACCCAGAAAGCCACUAUGGGAGCUACCUGUCUCAGUGCAGUACUGUGUGAGUAAAAUCACAGAGAACUAGGGCAGACACCUAAACAGCCAUCCCAGCACUAUAAUAUAUACAGGUUUGUAUUACUAACACUAUAGUGUUCCUUUAAAUGAGUAGCAUUGUUUUCCACAUAAAAAGCAUGCAGUAACUUGUUCUCUCAUAUGAACAGUUUUUGAGGGAUGGAGCAUUUAUAAAGAUGUAUAUUAUUUAUAUUCUACCUGUUUCAAAAGGGCAUUCUUUGUUUCAUCCCAGCAUAACCAACAGUAAUGCUUGCAAAUUACAGCCUAAACUAAUCUUCAGUGCACAGUAAUAGGACUGAAGCAGUCUUGAGCUUACAGACACACGUAUUUGCAUAUUUCAACUACUGCUCCUAUCAACACUGAAAGCAUCUGUCUAAAAUAAUAUAUUUCGUUUUAAGAUUUGCUAUCCUUUUAUAAUUAUUCAUUAUACUGUACACAUGAGUAUCAAAGCAUUUUGUUACUCUCAUCUUUAAUCUCGCAAAAAUAUAAUAUGUAAUUAGCACGUUAAAGAAAUGAUAUCAUUAAAUAUCUAUUAUACGGCCUCAAUCCUGUUUUGCAUUAAACAGUGCCUGACACUGAACGCUAACCUAAAUGUCUUACGGACUUGGAUUAAAAACCCAUAACUAUUGCAAGGGCAAUACAUUUUAUUUAGCAUUUAUAUAUCUGGGUGAGGAAAGUAAUUGUAACUAAGGACCCUGAAUUAUAAAAACCAGAAACACAAAAUAUUUUAAGCUAAUCUGAAAUCUGAUAUAGAUAAAAGAUUUCAUAGGCUGAGUUCAGGUCCCAAAAUGCAGUCCUGAACAACAAACAGGUACAAUAUCAGUAUCUCUAUCGAUCACUCAAUUAGUCAAGCUGUAAUAUUAGUUAGUUAGACAAAGUACUCUAAAUGGUCAACAAAACAGAUAUUUAAGUAGUAUUAAUACAAUUUAAAGAAGAUGUAAUAACUUUCUUUUCAUUGUCUAAGAAACCCAUUAAGAAAGUUAAUAUAUUCUGAUAAUUAAUUCUGACUGGACAUAAUGACAGCUGUCCAAAUUUUCUAUUUAUGCUCAGGAAAGAUAGAAAGAUUUUAUUGGUUGUGUGCUGAGAAAAUUACCAACAUUUUGCAGGUACAUGGGAAAAUAUUGAACAAUUAAGCACUGCACAUAUUCAUGUAAAUUAAUUGGAAAUUCAUGAUCUUUUGGUUAGGUGAUGUCUAUUAUAUGAUGCCAUAAAAUAAGUUUUACUUUUAGCAAUAAAAUAAAACUAUUCAUAUGUUUAUACUUCUAAUUUCUUAAAUAUAUAUUUAUAUGUUCUUGACAUGAUCUUUUUUGUACAUUUCCCCCCCAAAAAAUUAUAAAAUAUGUUUAGGUGAUCAAGCUCUGUAAAAUCAAUGAAUGGCAAUGGAUUUAAGUACAUUAAACAAAUAUUAUCUUGGCCAUUUUAUACCAGUUAAGGUAAUGGUUGUCAAAUUAAUCUUAAAAGAGAAUCACACAAUGAUAUUUAUCAAGCUGUAGAUGAGUCAAAAAUCUCAAGUAUUUCAGUUGACUCAUGUUGAGAAGAAUAAUAGCUAUUAGAUUGUGACCUUGUUAACACUCUUUUUUUUUUUUUUUACUUUUAAAUUGAUCAGCAAAAUAUCUAACAGUUGAACAGAUGAUUAGAUACUUGUAUUGAUACAUGUAAAUGUGGUUAGACCCAGUCAUACGUGUGUUCUAUCAUUAUAGAAAAGGCAGCUACAUCAAUUAAUAUUCUUCUUUUAAAUGUAGUAAUUUCAAUAACAACAAAUACAAGACUUUUAAUAACAUAAUUAUGGACUGUUAAUAGCUUAUAGUGAAGGUCUGAUAAUGUCUUUAUAUGUAGUUGAGUCUAGAGGAAUGCAUGGCUGUGGCUGGGACUACUAUGAAUGGCUGAUUUGAAAAUAAUUAUUUACUAUGCGUGCAUUUCUUUUUAUAAUGUUAAAUCAUAUUUAAUUGAACAUCUCCAUUUUUACUCCUAACUUUGGGGGCAAUGACUGGAUAAGAACACCAAGGUCAGAAAAGUGUGGUUUUAGACUGUCAAUUCUACUCAAAGUUGGAUGGGCUAAUGAGGAGGUUAAUUUCCAGGUUAACUAAGAGGAAGGCCAAGGGAUAAGCUGUAAAUGGUGUUUGAAAACAGUUUGGACAGGACAUUCAGAAGGUUUGCACCACGACAACUACAUUGAACAUGGUGGUUAUGGUGAAUAUAGUGUGCCUAACAUUCUAUUUAGGAGCAAGCAAAUGAGAUUGGUCUUCCUAGCACUGCACUUGUUUUAAAAAUAACUGUUACCUUACUUAUAUUGAAGAUAAUAAUUGUGAUUAAAUAUUGCACUAAUUGGUAAAAUACAUAAAAGUGCAUUGAUUAGCAGACUGCCAGUUUUAGCAGGAAGAAACCAAAACACUUCACUGACAUGAAAAAUGCCCUUUAGUUUGCUCGUUUGAAAACUACAAUAUAUAUGUCUAAAUACACCACCCUGUGCAAACAAAUCAUUAUCCUAUCAUAUGUAACCCUCAACACUCAAUCUACACAUACAGUCACACACAAGCAGUCUGUACAUAUUAUAGAGCAGGGGUGACCAACAGCUGUUGUGGGGCUACAGAAUAAAGUAUGUGUUCCAUACUUCCACAAUUCAUGUAGGUUAGACAAUUAGACCAAAUGCAAAAAGGCUGGCAAAAUAUCAAGGCAUUUAACAUCCUACAAUAACUGGAGAGAUACUUAUUGGGCACCCCUGGCAUGAUGGCAUAAAAUCCAACCUCUCAUCUCUAUAUACAUAAAACUUGCAACAACUGAAAAACACUUGCAAUUUUGCCUUCGUUUAACCACUCUCACUACAUUUCAAUAACUUUAUUAUUCCUUUAAAAUAAUCAGAAUCUAGUAUCCUAGUUAUAAAUUAAGGAACAGAAAACCGCAUCCAUCUAAUCUCAGUAAAUGACAAUUGAAUCUUGUUUUAUACAUAUAUAUUCACGCUAUUGCCUUUUCAGUGUUUUGGGCAUUUAUAAUUAUCAAUGCAGUAUAGAGAAAAUUAAUGUAUGGAUAGAUAAUCAUAUUGAUACUCAUUUACUCAGUAGAAAGUGAAUUUGGGGGCUGCAGAGAUGAAGACAUUUUUCAUCUGAGCUGUAUACCCAGCUUGGAUAUUUUUGUGAAUUUGAAUUUCAGUUUCCAAAAUCCACCAUUUUGUUAAUUAACCCAUUAGCAUAACACAUAUAAUAUUGAUGUGGUUUCCCUUUAUUUCUCCUAGAAAAACUUAAAUGCUUUAAAUUUUAACCUGGAAUGAUGAGUUAGCGGCUGACCAGACGAUGCAAAAUGCUUGCAUGAAAAUACAUGCUUUGGAAAAUAGCUUUCGUUGCUGCCAUAUAUAGUGAUAUUAAUCAUAUACUGUAUGUCCUUCAUUAACCCUUUUGAAUGCUGGAGAAGCAAGAAAUAUAAAUAACGGUACUUUCAGUCACAGGAUCAUGUAACAAUAAUUUUAUAUUGGGAUGUAGUGUACCCACAUUAGUACACUUGGCAUUCACUCAUUUAACAAUUUAUUAGACUGUGCAUACAGUGUUACUGUGGUUAGAUACUGAAUGUCCAUUGUGUUGAUACCCAUACCUCUGCUCUUGGUUUAACAGCUGGGCUAAGGAGAAAUAAUUCAAUGUCAGAAAGGGAAGUUACUAUUUCCUGACCUUUUUUAAAGGGUGUCCUUACCUACUUCAAGGCCAGAAACAACCUAAUUUCUGCUUGGUACUGAACCUUUUACCGAGGCCAUUGGAGGUGAUUUUUAGGUGUAGAAAAUAAAAAAAGAUUCCAGGUUUGAUAAUAUCUCAAACAAGGUAACUGAUCAGUGCCCUAGAGCACUGUCACAUACUUAUGAACAUCUGCCAUCACUUUGUGUACCAAAAAUAACCUUUCCAGUUCAGUCAAAGCCAAACCAUGCCAUACACAUCCCUUUCAACUUGCUGAACUCUUUGUACCUCCAUAAACAUAUGUAAUGUAAACAUUACUCCCAUUUGAUUUCAAUAAUAAAAAACAAUUUGUCGAUUGACAUUUUUGUCUUAUUCGUUAACAAAAGUGCAAGUCAAUCCUUGACUUUUUGUUUGUGCAAAACUUCAAGUAAUUUAAUGUCAUUUAGCUUACAAAUCUCUGCGAUGUCUGUCAAUGCACUUUCUGUAUCCUUCUAUUCAAGUUUACAGUUAAGAAGUUAAUGAAAUGAAAUGUGUGACUAACAUUUCUAGAAGCUGGACUAGCAUCAUCAGUUUUGUUACCUCCAGCAGUCAAAUAGUUAAAUAAUAUUUCAACCAAAGCGGCAGAGGUGCAAUUCUAUUUCUGAUAGUUAGGAUCUGUACAUUCCAAAUGCAUAUAUGAGCUUGAUUUUUUUCAUUUUUGCUUUUUUUUUUUUUUUAAUAAUACUUACAAGUUUGGUUCAGUUUUGUUUUGUUGGCCACUAAAUUUAUGUAUUGUAUCCCACUUACUUCUUUACAAUUGUUUUCCAACAGUAAAAAUCCCACGUAACACACAGGUCACUUGACAACGAACCUUCACUUAAAAUUAAUGGAAAAAAAGAAUCAAAGUUGUUCAGUUGGACUUUUUAUACAAAUAGACUGAUUUAUAACAUAAUUUUUAAUGUUUUGCUUAUUUUCAGUUUUUUUGUUUGUUUUUUAUUGAGAGUCACGUAACAAUGUAACAAGCAAUAAUGGAUUAGUGUAUUUAAAUAAUAUAAGGUACACUAAAUCUCUAAAACUAGCAUAAAAACAAUCUCCCCAAUUGCAUUUCCUGUGAACUUCAAUAACUAGUGUUAUGUAUGUGUAUGUGUAUACUUGAUUUGAGUUUCUCUUAGGGACACUCAGCCAGUUAAACACUGAGUAAUCUGCAUGCCUAUCUUACUAUGAAGAAUGAGGCAGCUGGCUAGGGAGUCAAUGUGCAGGGGCCAACCUGGUAAUGUUCACAGUGAAAAUGCCAUGAGACAACCCAGAUAAUGACUGUCUAGAUUUUCCUUUAUUGAAUAUAAUGGAUCAAUAAAAGCAGUUUUAUGUAAUAAUGUGUCUAUUUGUUAAUGAAUAGAAAGGUCUCACACAGUCUGGUUGGGUAUGAUUUGAUGAAUACUAAAUAUUUGUUGGUUCUGCUAUCAAUAUCAAGCAAGUGCUAUACUUGACCUUUUUAUAUUAACAUUGAGCUAUUGUGUAAUUUGUCUUGUUCUUCAAGGAAAAUAUUUUCAUUUUCAUUUCUAUUGCCACUAGCAUGCAAGAUACAUAUUUUCAUUAUGAAUUUUUGAAAACAUGUUUUAUUUUUUCAUGGUAUUUAAUAUUUGUGCUCUUCCAAAUUCUGUUAUAUUUUCAUUUUCAUGGCACUUCAACCAGUCUACUUUCCAAUUGACAAACCUUUUAAAAGUUCCUUUUUUACAGAAAUAUUCCAUGAAAUCUUCUGUGAGUACUCCACUGGGAACUGUGGGGACUGGCUACAUGCAAGUUCUGUACAAUUGUUAUAGUCUAUCAGUAGCAGAACAUCAAACUAUAACCAAGGAAGAUUUCCUUCUAAUCACACAUUGAUAUAUAUGUAUAUAUAUAUAUAUAUAUAUAUAUAUAUAUCUAUAUCUCACACACACACACACACACACGCAUGCACAUCUUAUGUAUUGUGGCCUUGGAGCUUCCAAUAUAUUACUGAUUAAACAUGUCUCACAAUGUUAAUUAAAUAUUUUAGACCUGGCUCACAAUGACAUCCUUUCCAGUUGCCAGUAUUCCUCUCUCUUGUGUUACUUUUAUGUAAAUACUUUGCCCAACUGCCCAAAGGAAACUCACAUUGUGAAAAAAAUGAAAAUAAAAUAAAAAUUACAGUACUUCCAAGAUUAAUUAUACAUAAUAAAACCUUAAAAAAGUAUGUUUUGAUUUCUAAAAAUGUACAAAAACAAAUUUGAGGCUCUUAAUUAUUAUCUUUGUUAAUAAUGGACAUGUAUUACUGUGACUCAGAAUAAGAAGAUGGUAUUCACAGAAUACAAUUACCUUUUCACCUCUGUUUUCCUCUUAACCAAUCAGUGCUGCAACAUAUUGUUUAGCAGAAGGAGAGUUAAACUCUCAAGAAAUUCUAAUGCCUUAUACUCAAUGGAUGCAUAUCCACAUUUAGUCUAAUAUUCAUAUUUACAAUUUUAUCAAAAAUAUUAUAUUUACAGUUUUUUUAACUGUGAAAGUUCACGUUGUCUUUUUUCAUGUACAAAAAUACCUAUUUUAUGCUCUUUUUUUUUCUCCUUUUCCUAAUCUGCUUGGUUCCCAGGGAAGCACUUCAGCAAAGUAAUAUUAAACUGUUUUUACAAUACCAACUUUGUUUCUAUAGCAUUGUUAUUCUUUUUAUGUAACCCAAUGGCACCUUAAGAUUGAUUUGACUAAAUAAUUGAUAUAAGGAAUUAAGGUAAAAAAGUAGUUUAGUAAACACAGAUGAUGCAAUUCUUCCUUAGGACUGCUAAAAUGACAAAUAAUUGCACUAAUAUAUUCUCAGUUCAUUGUGUUCUACCAAUGCUAGGUUAACAUUUCAGCCCCCUAAUUAUUAUUAUUAGUAUUUUUUUUAAUUUUUAUUCUUUUAAAUCCUACUUCUUCAAACGCAAACUGUAUAUAUGGCAAAUUAUGACUUUUUUGUGAAAAGUUCAUUUGGAAGUAGGAUCCAGGUAAUAAAAUUAAUACAAAUCAUCUUCUUAUGCUCUUUUUACCAUAUGCUAAAUUAUGUUUUUGUUUUGGGGGAAAAUAGGUCUGUGAAGAAGAAAUCCCUUCAGUUGCAGCGAUCUCAAUCCCCACCACCUUUGUUGGUGGGCUGGCACAAGACUAG